GAAAAGUUGCAGAACAAACUUUUUGCACUCAGUUUGAAACAUUUAGUUUUCUAUAUGUUCCAGAAAUUGCAGUAAGACAGAAAACAGAGUCAUCAAGCAGCGAAGGUGAUUUCUUAUUCCUUGAACUUGUUGAAGCAGAAGUAUCCCGGUCACUUACAGGUGUAUUUCAGGAUGCCAGCGGUCUAGAUUGAUGCACUUCAAGUGAUACUGGAGCUGUCAAUCCAGAGCUGUGGUCAGGAGUACAAACACAAAAUGUGCCAUUGGAAAAGUCUACAUAGAAGCCUGGACUUGUUGAUAGUUACACUAGAUUGUGGUCGUCAGAAACUGUCUUUAUAUCGACUGUAUGAAACACUGACUUUGUCUGAAUGAUGUCGACCAUUUUUCUGUUUUCUG